rnacentral:rRNA from 1 species
GAUGAACGCUGGCGGCGUGCUUAACACAUGCAAGUCGAACGGAAAGGCCCAAGCUUGCUUGGGUACUCGAGUGGCGAACGGGUGAGUAACACGUGGGUGAUCUGCCCUGCACUUCGGGAUAAGCCUGGGAAACUGGGUCUAAUACCGGAUAGGACCACUUCUUGGAUGUUGUGGUGGAAAGUUUUUUCGGUGUGGGAUGAGCUCGCGGCCUAUCAGCUUGUUGGUGGGGUAAUGGCCUACCAAGGCGUCGACGGGUAGCCGGCCUGAGAGGGUGUACGGCCACAUUGGGACUGAGAUACGGCCCAGACGCCUACGGGAGGCAGCAGUGGGGAAGAUUGCACAAUGGGCGCAAGCCUGAUGCAGCGACGCCGCGUGGGGGAUGACGGCCUUCGGGUUGUAAACUCCUUUCGCUAGGGACGAAGCGUUUUGUGACGGUACCUGGAGAAGAAGCACCGGCUAACUACGUG